CGUACACUCCUGCGGGAGGCAGCAGUGGGGAAUAUUGCACAAUGGGCGCAAGCCUGAUGCAGCCAUGCCGCGUGUAUGAAGAAGGCCUUCGGGUUGUAAAGUACUUUCAGCGGGGAGGAAGGCGAUAAGGUUAAUAACCUUGUCGAUUGACGUUACCCGCAGAAGAAGCACCGGCUAACUCCGUGCCAGCAGCCGCGGUAAUACGGAGGGUGCAAGCGUUAAUCGGAAUUACUGGGCGUAAAGCGCACGCAGGCGGUCUGUCAAGUCGGAUGUGAAAUCCCCGGGCUCAACCUGGGAACUGCAUUCGAAACUGGCAGGCUAGAGUCUUGUAGAGGGGGGUAGAAUUCCAGGUGUAGCGGUGAAAUGCGUAGAGAUCUGGAGGAAUACCGGUGGCGAAGGCGGCCCCCUGGACAAAGACUGACGCUCAGGUGCGAAAGCGUGGGGAGCAAACAGGAUUAGAUACCCUAGUAGUCCCA
rnacentral:rRNA from 1 species